GACGAACGCUGGCGGCGUGCUUAACACAUGCAAGUCGAACGAUGACGACCGAGCUUGCUCGGUCUGAUUAGUGGCGAACGGGUGAGUAACGCGUGAGCAACCUGCCCUUCACUCUGGGAUAACCUCGGGAAAUCGGGGCUAAUACCGGAUAUGAGCUCCUGUCGCAUGGCGGGUGUUGGAAAGUUUUUCGGUGAAGGAUGGGCUCGCGGCCUAUCAGUUUGUUGGUGAGGUAGUGGCUCACCAAGGCGAUGACGGGUAGCCGGCCUGAGAGGGCGACCGGCCACACUGGGACUGAGAAACGGCCCAGACUCCUACGGGAGGCAGCAGUGGGGAAUAUUGCACAAUGGGCGAAAGCCUGAUGCAGCGACGCCGCGUGAGGGAUGACGGCCUUCGGGUUGUAAACCUCUUUCAGCAGGGAAGAAGCGAAAGUGACGGUACCUGCAGAAGAAGCGCCGGCUAACUACGUG
rnacentral:rRNA from 1 species